UGUCCUGGUUUAUAAAGGUGCUUCAGGACUCCUUGGCUCCUGGCCAAUACCUUAGUGCUUCCUGAAGGGGAAAGAGCCCUCCAAACCAUUCAGUGGGCCAUCCCAGACCAAGGUUUCUGACCCAGACAUUGAAACAGGAGGAGUUCCCUUAUCCCCCUUGCAGGGCAUGUGACAGGGGCAUGGUUCGCUUCUCAGUACCCUGCUGCUCAAACCCCUAGAGGGGGCAUGCAGAUGGGCAGGUCAUGGGGAGCGUUUUUGGGCUCUGACCCCGCAGCAGCAUGUAGAAUUGGGUGUUUACAGCUCCCGAAGCCCCAGUGGGCAUGUGUUACAGUGGUCUCCUUCAGUUUUGCCGUCUGCAGGCGGCUUGUGUUAAUCAGCUCAAUUAGACCCUCUGCCUUAUCACAAAGACAGAUGGCUUUCUGUAUCCCAGGUUCUUGCCCUAGUGUACUGGAAAAAUCAGAUCGCUCAUGGACUUGGAGAAGGAGUGCAAGGUUUUAUUGAGUGGAGGAGGUGGCUCUCAGAUGGAUGGGGAGCCAGAAGGGGGAUGGAGUGGGAAGGUGGUCUUCCCCUAGAGUCGGGCUGCCCAGCAGCCAGACUCUCCUCUGACCGCCCCCGACUGAAUUCUACAUCGCCCUGCUGUCGAAAGCCUGCCAGCAUCUGCUGGUGUCUGUCAGUGUGCUCUUCUGCUUCUCUGCUCCUCUCGACGUCCAGCCACUUGUGUCUGUGCCCACUAGGGUCUUGGGUUUUUUAUGGGCACAGGAUGGGGGGUCAUGGCAGGCCAGAGUAGUCUUGGAAAAUGCAACAUUUGGACAUGAAAACAGGAGUGCCUGUUCUCACUAAGGUCUAUGGGCACAAGCCCGAGGGUGGAGCCCUCGCCAGGGACCCCACCCUUCUCUACCCAGCACUCCCCUGCCUCCCUUCCAUAUCAACAUGAAAGCUGACAUGGGCUCCUGUGCCCCACCUCUGGGCCUGGUUUGGUGACCUCUGCACCAGAGCUGCUAGGGAGGCCCCAUCCCACAUGUUGUUGACUGAACAGCCCUUCCCCAAGGGAACCAACGUCCUCCUGUCCCCAAACCCAUGGAGAAGUGGUGGGUUCCUGGGCCUCUUGUAACUCGACUAAAUAUUUUCCAGGUUACCUAACCAAACUCCUGCAAAACCACACCACCUAUGCCUGUGAUGGGGACUAUUUGAAUCUACAGUGCCCUCGGCAUUCUACGAUAAGUGUCCAAUCGGCAUUUUAUGGGCAAGAUUACCAAAUGUGUAGUUCCCAGAAGCCUGCCUCCCAGAGGGAAGACAGCUUAACCUGUGUGGCAGCCACCACCUUCCAGAAGGUGCUGGACGAAUGCCAGAACCAGCGGGCCUGCCACCUCCUGGUCAAUAGCCGUGUUUUUGGACCUGACCUUUGUCCAGGAAGCAGUAAAUACCUCCUGGUCUCCUUUAAAUGCCAACCUAAUGAAUUAAAAAACAAAACCGUGUGUGAAGACCAGGAGCUGAAACUGCACUGCCAUGAAUCCAAGUUCCUCAACAUCUACUCUGCGACCUACGGCAGGAGGACCCAGGAAAGGGACAUCUGCUCCUCCGAGGCAGAGCGGCUCCCCCCUUUUGAUUGCUUGUCUUACUCAGCUUUGCAAGUCCUAUCCCGAAGGUGCUAUGGGAAGCAGAGAUGCAAAAUCAUCGUCAACAAUCACCAUUUUGGAAGCCCCUGUUUGCCAGGCGUGAAAAAAUACCUCACUGUGACCUACGCAUGUGUUCCCAAGAACAUACUCACAGCGAUUGAUCCAGCCAUUGCUAAUCUAAAACCUUCUUUGAAGCAGAAAGAUGGUGAAUAUGGUAUAAACUUCGACCCAAGCGGAUCGAAGGUUCUGAGGAAAGAUGGAAUUCUUGUUAGCAACUCUCUGGCAGCCUUUGCUUACAUUAGAGCCCACCCGGAGAGAGCUGCCCUGCUGUUCGUGUCCAGUGUCUGCAUCGGCCUGGCCCUCACAUUGUGCGCCCUGGUCAUCAGAGAGUCCUGUGCCAAGGACUUCCGCGAGUUGCAGCUGGGGAGGGAGCAGCUGGUGCCAGGAAGUGACAAGGUCGAGGAGGACAGCGAGGAUGAAGAAGAGGAGGAGGACUCCUCUGAGUCUGACUUCCCAGGGGAACUGUCGGGGUUCUGUAGGACUUCAUAUCCUGUCUACAGUUCCAUAGAAGCUGCAGAGCUCGCAGAAAGGAUUGAGCGCAGGGAGCAAAUCAUUCAGGAAAUAUGGAUGAACAGUGGUUUGGACACCUCACUCCCGAGAAACAUGGGCCAGUUCUACUGAAAACCACAUGCAUCUUGAUGCAAUCGCACUUUCUGAAGAAGGAAGGAUCCCAAAUGCCCCUCCAGUUCUGGUUCACCUGUACCUUCUAUGAAGGAGAAUUCGUCAUGUCAUUCAACACUCGUGAGGCCAGGAAGCUAUUAAAGGGAUGUUUCAAGCUUUCUAGCACAUUCCAAAAUAAAUAAGGAGGGAAGAGUCUU
rnacentral:sRNA from 1 species